rnacentral:rRNA from 1 species
CCUGGGAACUGCGUUNUGAACUGGGUGACUAGAGUGUGUCAGAGGGAGGUAGAAUUCCACGNGUAGCAGUGAAAUGCGUAGAGAUGUGGAGGAAUACCGAUGGCGAAGGCAGCCUCCUGGGAUAACACUGACGUUCAUGCCCGAAAGCGUGGGUAGCAAACAGGAUUAGAUACCCUGGUAGUNCACGCCCUAAACGAUGUCGAUUAGCUGUUGGGCAGCAUGACUGCUUAGUAGCGAAGCUAACGCGUGAAAUCGACCGCCUGGGGAGUACGGUCGCAAGAUUAAAACUCAAAGGAAUUGACGGGGACCCGCACAAGCGGUGGAUGAUGUGGACUAAUUCGAUGCAACGCGAAGAACCUUACCUGGUCUUGACAUGUACGGAACCCUCCAGAGACGGAGGGGUGCCUUCGGGAGCCGUAACACAGGUGCUGCAUGGCUGUCGUCAGCUCGUGUCGUGAGAUGUUGGGUUAAGUCCCGCAACGAGCGCAACCCUUGUCAUUAGUUGCCAUCAUUAAGUUGGGCACUCUAAUGAGACUGCCGGUGACAAGCCGGAGGAAGGUGGGGAUGACGUCAAGUCCUCAUGGCCCUUAUGACCAGGGCUUCACACGUCAUACAAUGGUCGGUACAGAGGGUAGCCAAGCCGCGAGGUGGAGCCAAUCUCACAAAACCGAUCGUAGUCCGGAUUGCACUCUGCAACUCGAGUGCAUGAAGUCGGAAUCGCUAGUAAUCGCAGGUCAGCAUACUGCGGUGAAUACGUUCCCGGGUCUUGUACUCACCGCCCGUCACACCAUGGGAGUGGGGGAUACCAGAAGU